CCACAUAGAGCGAGACUGAGAUGGAUUGACAAUACUUAUUCAGCAUUUCCUUUGCAUAGGAUUACGGCGGGACAUCGUCGGUACUUUGUUUGCCUCCAGGAGAAGACUUUGACUGGGUUCCCCGUCGAAACUUGCAGGUGCAUCAUCUCAAACGUGGUGACGAGGCACCUUCAAAAACAGCAAGUCAGAUUUUUGUACAUUCGUUAGCAAGAGCUCAUAACACCCAUGGAGCGCAAUUCAUGCAGUAUUGCCUAGGCCUACUUUUGGUGACGUCAACAAAAUUUGAGAAGUGGAUGUCUAAAUGGCGUUCGAUCUAUCUCUAUCAAGAGGGUUUGCCUUGUUGACGGGGGCAGGCCUAAUGUUUACUCCAGCCAACUGCCGGCAGACAGGAAACGACUCUUGGCGUGUUCUCUGAGCCUGGUCAAACCCGUCCGCCAGGGUCCUUCUUCUCGGCGAUAGCUUCCGGGCUAUCUGAAAUGUUGGCGAGACUUCCGGAAUAGGGAAAACGAACUACUGGCUCAAAAAUCUCCCUAAAAUUGCGAGAGAGGAAUGAACAAUGGCGGUAUUUUGUUUUAUACUAUUACUCUUUUGAGCAAUCCUUGUAGUUUUUUUGUCUUAAGAAGAAUGGUCAAGUUUUAACCUACUCCAAAGCAUCCCAAGAAAAUAUAAUAUUUGAAUGAA